CACACCCUGCCAUAAUAUAUGUUUUUAUUUACCAAAGCUGUCAUCUUUAUCCUUUUUUCCCUCACUAAGGCACCAAUAAGUCAAUUUAGACCAAAAGUAAAUUAGUAUUGCCAAAGAUUAAGGAAUAACUUGUGGGAAAGUAUAUCUUACCAUAAACGAGACUACAGGUAGAUCCAGAUAUUACUUAUUUUUCCAUGGACCAGGAUCAUGAGGAAUUGUACUCGGAACCAGAAAACCCCGGAGCAUGAUGCCUUGAGACUAGAAAGACACGGAGUAUGAGGACUUGGCUUGACCUAAACAUUAAUAAGAUGGACUCAAAUGCAGCUUUGAAUAAUGGGAGUAUGAAGAGGAUCUAUAAUGAAGAUGGAAAAUAAAUAAUGAGAACUAUUAGGAAUAUAGGUAGAUCCAAGUAUAAUAUUAUAUCUUACUAUUUGGUUGCUUAUAUUGAUGUACUAUGUAAGUUUUAUUGAUGAUAACCUGGAAAUUUUUUUUAGCAGCCUCAUUAAUCACUAUACAUUUAAGUUUAAUAUUUUUCCCACCAUAGACGAGACUUGAAAUAGAUCCAAACAUUACUUACUUUCCCAUAUAUCCGGAGCAUGAGGACUCUAACUUUGUCGAAACAUUGAAAACGUGGACUUAAAUAUAGCUCUGAAUAUUGGAUAUAAUGGAUAUUUACUCUUUCCUUUAUUUAUAUUUGGUAUUUACUACAUGAACGAUACUGUUUUUUACUGCAUUUAGAAUAAAUAAUUAUUCAUAGAAUAUAACGAGGGUCUAAAUGCAUAUGCAAGAUAAUUAAUGAAAAUUACAAAUAAAGGUAGAUACGAGUAUAAUAUUAAAAAUAUAUCGUAAUAUUUGAUUUCUUA
rnacentral:lncRNA from 1 species